UGUCGGGAACAGAAGGAAAAUUUCAUCCUAACAUGAGCUGAAAUUGACUGUGUUGGGAACAGGAGGAGAACCUCAUCCUGACACAAACGAAGACCUGGUCGUUCAAGACCGAAUGAGGAGAAAAGCCUUCUCAAUGGCUCCUCUACACCCCUACAACCCCAUUAGGAGCAGAGGAAAAACCUUCGUCCAAACAUAAAAAAAGAGGGAGAGAGAAAAAGAGAAAGCGACGAGCUAUGCCAG
rnacentral:lncRNA from 1 species